rnacentral:rRNA from 1 species
AGAGUUUGAUCCUGGCUCAGGACGAACGCUGGCGGCGUGCUUAACACAUGCAAGUCGAGCGAUGAAGUUUCUUCGGAAAUGGAUUAGCGGCGAACGGGUGAGGAACACGUGAAGAAUCUGCCCUCCACUUUGGGAUAACACAGGGAAACCUGUGCUAAUACCGAAUAUUGAAACAUAAGUGGCAUCACUGAGUUUUGAAAGAAUUUCGGUGGAGGAUGACUUCGCGGCCUAUCAGCUAGUUGGUGAGGUAAUGGCUCACCAAGGCAACGACGGGUAGCCGGCCUGAGAGGGCGACCGGCCACACUGGGACUGAGACACGGCCCAGACUCCUACGGGAGGCAGCAGUGGGGAAUAUUGGGCAAUGGAGGAAACUCUGACCCAGCGACGCCGCGUGCGGGAUGAAGGCCUUCGGGUUGUAAACCGCUUUCAGUAGGGAAGAAGCGAAAGUGACGGUACCUACAAAAGAAGCACCGGCUAACUAUGUGCCAGCAGCCGCGGUAAUACAUAGGGUGCAAGCGUUGUCCGGAAUUAUUGGGCGUAAAGAGCUCGUAGGUUGUUUGUUACGUCGGAUGUGAAAACCUGAGGCUCAACCUCAGGCCUGCAUUCGAUACGGGCAAACUAGAGUUUGGUAGGGGAGACUGGAAUUCCUGGUGUAGCGGUGGAAUGCGCAGAUAUCAGGAGGAACACCAAUGGCGAAGGCAGGUCUCUGGGCCAAUACUGACACUGAGGAGCGAAAGUCUGGGGAGCGAACAGGAUUAGAUACCCUGGUAGUCCAGACCGUAAACGGUGGGCACUAGUUGUGGGGACCUUCCACGGUCUCUGCGACGCAGCUAACGCAUUAAGUGCCCCGCCUGGGGAGUACGAUCGCAAGAUUAAAACUCAAAGGAAUUGACGGGGCCCCGCACAAGCAGCGGAGCAUGCGGCUUAAUUCGACGCA